UGGGGAAUAUUGCACAAUGGGCGCAAGCCUGAUGCAGCCAUGCCGCGUGUGUGAAGAAGGCCUUCGGGUUGUAAAGCACUUUCAGCGGGGAGGAAGGCGAUAAGGUUAAUAACCUUGUCGAUUGACGUUACCCGCAGAAGAAGCACCGGCUAACUCCGUGCCAGCAGCCGCGGUAAUACGGAGGGUGCAAGCGUUAAUCGGAAUUACUGGGCGUAAAGCGCACGCAGGCGGUCUGUCAAGUCGGAUGUGAAAUCCCCGGGCUCAACCUGGGAACUGCAUUCGAAACUGGCAGGCUAGAGUCUUGUAGAGGGGGGUAGAAUUCCAGGUGUAGCGGUGAAAUGCGUAGAGAUCUGGAAGAAUACCGGUGGCGAAGGCGGCCCCCUGGACGAAGACUGACGCUCAGGUGCGAAAGCGUGGGGAGCAAACAGG
rnacentral:rRNA from 1 species